rnacentral:lncRNA from 1 species
AGUCCCACCUGAGGCUCAACCCUAGCCCUCAGCCCACCUGCGGGGCAUUACUGCCUGGGGACCCCCCUUGCCCAGGCCUCCAGCUACAAAACAAUUCAAUUGCUUCUUCUUUUAUUUUUUUCUGUCCAAAAUAAAACCUCAGCUAGCUCGGCAAAAAAAAAAAAAAAAAAAAAAAAAAAAAAAAAAAAAGGGGCAAAAGCAAAAGAUCUGAAGAUCUGCAGACAUUUUUGAGGAC